CUUGAAACACCGGUUCCCGUACGAUCAUCGAAGUUAAGCAACGUCGAGUACCUAGAUGGGUGACUGCUUGGGAAUAUCAGGUUCUGUC